rnacentral:rRNA from 1 species
UACGUAGGGGGCAAGCGUUGUCCGGAAUCAUUGGGCGUAAAGAGCGUGUAGGCGGCCCGAUAAGUCCGCUGUGAAAGUCCAGGGCUCAACCCUGGAAUGCCGGUGGAUACUGUCGGGCUCGAAUCCGGAAGAGGUGAGUGGAAUUCCUGGUGUAGCGGUGAAAUGCGCAGAUAUCAGGAGGAACACCGGUGGCGAAGGCGGGUCUCUGGGCCGAUACUGACGCUGAGGAGCGAAAGCAUGGGGGAGCGAACAGG